rnacentral:lncRNA from 1 species
CAACAAAUGGAGAAUUGGGAUUGUUAGAAAGAAGGAUCAACAAGACUUAUUUUUUGGAAGGAGGGAAUAAAAGAAGGAUGUAAUGUGACUUCUGCACUUCCAGCAUGGGAGAAUGGAUAGAUGAUAAUAUCAUUGUCUAACAGAGAAGGCAGAGAGGAAAAGUAGAUUUGGUGUUGACACUUUGGAUGUAUGGUGUUGUGGGACAAAGGAGACUGUUCAUUAAGCCAUUGGAAAUGUCUACAGUUUAGCCGGAGCCACUCACGUACGGGUCACCAGACUCUAGAUGAUUCUAAUCAUGUGAGCAGAUGGGAUGGCUCUGUGCUGUGAUGCAGAAUGGAAAGAAUGCUGAAGGCAGAGAAGGAUCAAGUUCCAGAAAAAAACAGAGAGGAAAAGAGGGAGCGAGACAGGGAGGAAAGAUAGGAAUGCACUUUGCAGGCUACGUCAGAAAUAAGUGAGUGUGAGAGAAAUGAGGUUUGAAAUGUCAGAGGUAGAAGCCAAUCUGUGGGAAAUUUUUUAAUCAUCGUACACACAUUUUUCAAAACUUCAAGAAAGAAUCCACAUUCAUGGACCUGAAUUCUAUUGGAAAGGAACAAAAUAAAUAUUUGUUGGAUGAAUAAAUAAAAUAAAACCCGGAAGUAUCAAUGAAAGGAAAUGAUAGAGAAGAAAAUGUGAGAGAUCUAGAAGAGAAGAGAACAGGAAAGUAAAUUUAGCAAAGAAACAUUUGCUUGGCAGUAUUAGGUGCUCAUUUGAGAUUUGUAGUUUAUAAAAAAGGAGUUAGGAUGAUGGAUUGAAGAGCUCAGUUUUGGGGGAGGUGUCAGAUUCAGGAUCUGGAAAGGAAGAGGUGCUGGUCUGAAAGGUGGUGGUUCUUACAGGGGAGAUUUUGGAGUUCUUGAUGACCAGUUCCAAAAGUGCUGGGAUUACAGGCGUGAGCCACCGUGUCUAGCCAUAUCUACCAAUAUUAUGAAUGAUAGGUAAUAUGCCACUAUUGUUUCAAUUAACAAUAUACUAAUUAGAGGUUGAAAAUAAUUUCAUCUAUUUCUGGGUUAAUUGUACUGCCUCGUCUAUGAAUUUAUUUUUUGACCAUUUUUAUUAGGUUGUCUUUUUCUCACUGAUUUAUAAAAAUUUAAGAUAUAUGCUGCAAAUAGUUCCUCAAAGAUUGCUAUUGUUUAACUUUAUUCAUAGUGUUUUUGUCCCUUAGGAGUAUUACAUUUUGACUACCUGUGGUGGGUGUGUUUGUACAUGUUUUUCGUAAAGGUCUUACUUAUUCUGAGGUUAUUAAAAAUGAUCUCUGAAAUUUUCUUCCGAUAAUUUAAAAAUAUUGAUUCUUUUACAGGGUGCAUUUUGUAAACUUUGUAAAAAUAAUACAUGCUUACUGUAUAAAUACACAAUACAGGAAAAUACAAAGAAUAACAUAAAAAUAAAGUAAAAUCCUACUACAUGGAGAUAGCCUUUUCGAGCAUCUCCUUAUACAUGAGAAGAAGAGUAAUGAUAAUGAAUGUUGUCUACAUGCCAAGUAUUGCACUAAGUAAUUCAUAAAGUUGAUGGGGUAGGCAUUUCAUCAUCCCCAUUUUACAGGCAAGAAAACUAAGGCUCAGAGAGAUCA